rnacentral:rRNA from 1 species
UACGUAGGCAGCGAGCGUUGUUCGGAAUUACUGGGCGUAAAGCGCGCGUAGGCGGCUUUGUAAGUUAGAGGUGAAAGCCCGGAGCUCAACUCCGGAAUUGCCUUUAAGACUGCAUCGCUAGAAUCAUGGAGAGGUGAGUGGAAUUCCGAGUGUAGAGGUGAAAUUCGUAGAUAUUCGGAAGAACACCAGUGGCGAAGGCGACUCACUGGACAUGUAUUGACGCUGAGGUGCGAAAGCGUGGGGAGCAAACAGG